rnacentral:sRNA from 1 species
GGCGGCGGCGGCGGCGGCGGCGGCCCGCUCCAGCCAUGCCGAAUAAAAACAAGAAGGAGAAAGAAUCACCAAAAGCAGGGAAGAGUGGGAAAAGUUCAAAAGAAGGACAAGACACAGUAGAAUCAGAGCAAAUUUCCGUCAGGAAAAACAGCCUUGUUGCUGUCCCGUCUACAGUAUCUACUAAAAUAAAAGUACCAGUCUCUCAGCCCAUAGUGAAGAAAGACAAACGGCAAAAUUCUUCAAGGUUUAGCGCAAGCAAUAAUAGAGAACUUCAAAAACUACCAUCCUUAAAAGCCUUUUCAUCUCUCGCAGUUUGCUUGGCAUUUCACCAUUUGAAAGAAAUCAGUAUCAUCAGUACUUCUGGAGUUUGCACUAUGCUCUGCUUAUAGAUUGUGUAUAGUUACCUGCUAAGAUGGUCCUAAGCACAUGUCCAUGGCCUCGGUUCAGAGUAUACUUAAUGCUCCCUAUUCAGUCUUUCUGUUCCCAUGCUCCAGUCCGUGAAGUCUAGAGUAAAAUAAGAAAUUGGCAUUUAUAUACAUCUCCCCUCCUCAUCUUUAACUCUUCUGAAGAAAAGAGUUUUAGUAUCACACUCAUAAGAAAUUUCAUCUUUAAAAGUUAGUAUUACAGGCGCAGUGCCUCACACCUGUAAUACCAGCACUUUGGGAGGCCAAAGUGGGUGGAUCACCUGAGGUCAGGAGUUCAAGACCAGCCUGGCCAACAUGGCGAAACCCCAUCUCUACUAAAAAUACAAAAAUUAGCCAGCGUGGUGGCGGGUGCCUGCAAUCCCAGCUACUCGGGAGGCUGAGGCAGGAGAAUCAUUUAAACCUGGAGACAGAGGUUGCAGUGAGCCGAGAUCACGCCACUGCACACCAGCCUGGGCAGCAGGGUGAGACUCUGUCUCAAAAAAAAAAAAAAAAAAGUUAGCGAUAUCUGUGGUUAAUCUCAAAUAGGGUGGCUUUACAUGUCAUUUCCCUUUAGUUGUUUUUAAAUGCAGAUGUUGCUUUAAUUAAAUAAUAUUUGAAAUAAGUGGGGUCCCAACUAUAACCUUAUAUCUUAUUGUUUUUAAAUGUUGAUAUUUUGGUGUUUUCAGUAGAAUUUGAGCUGUUGACAGUGAUUAGGUUUUUUCAGUUUCUUUGUCAUCGUUGUAUGUGACCUCGUUAUAAUACACAUGGAUUUUUGUCUGCUGGUUGUGUUACUCAUGAGCAAUGUGUUCUAAUUAUGGUAUUUUAACUUAUAACUUAUGAAAACAGUAAUGUUUCACUCUAGGGAACAAGUCCUGAAGAACCCUCAAGCCCUAAAGUACCACCUCCACUUCUUCCUGAGUUACUGGUUCUUAUUCUUGGUGGGCUUCAAGGAAGAGGUGGGUGGUGAGGGUGUCUGUAUAUGUGUGUUUACAUUUAUAGACAGUUUCUGCACAUACAUAAUUAGGAAUGGGUUGUCGGUUUUGGUUUUUUUCCCAGCUUUAUGUAGUUGAUCAGACAUCUCAAAGGGGGUAGCAUUUGAUAAUUGCUCUCUUGGAACUCUGAAGCCUUUGCAUGGAGCAGUGUUCACCCUGGGUAACCUGUGGCCCCUGGGGUCACAGAGCUGCUUUCCAGGGGGUUUGCAAGGCCAUCACUGCCUCAUAAGAUUACCAAGAUCUAAUUUACCUCUUUUGCUGUGUGUACGUUUGCCCUGGUGGUGCAAAGGCAAUGGCGAGUAACGUGGCGCCUUUCUUUCAUCAAGCAGGACAGCGGUGUUCAGCUAGCAGCACACCAGUCUGACCCAAGAAUGUCCUUGAUAAAGCAUGAAGUUACUGGUUUUUUAAAUCUCAACUCUUUUGUAUACCUUUUUAAUUUUGUUUUUGUUUGGGUUUGUUUUUAGUUUUGUUUUCGUUUGGGUUUGUUUUUGUUUGGGUUUUUGGUUGCCCAGGCUGGAGUGCAAUGGCGCAAUCACAGCUCACUGCAGCCUCAACCUCCCCAGCUCAAGCAUUCCUCCCACCUCAGCAUCCUGUGUAGCUGGGACUACAGGCAAGCACCACCAUACCCAGCGUGGUUUUUUUUUUGUUGUUGUUGUUGUUUGUUUGUUUGUUUUUCGGUAGAGCUGAGGUCUCACUGGGUUGCUCAGGCUGGUGUCAAACCCCUGGGCUCAAAUGAUCCUCCUGCUUUGGCCUCCCAGAGUGCUGCGAUUAGAGGCCUGAGCCACUGCACCCAGCCUCCUUUUUAAUUUUGCACGACGAAAUGCGGAGUUCACAUAAAGCCCUUCUAGCAUGCUGAAGUGUGAUGGCCGUCUCGAAGAAAAGUGCCCAUGUGAUGUGUGAGUUAUGAGCCAAAAUAGCCACUUUUUCCAGGAACUUUAAAUUAUGAGAAUAGUAAUGUAAAAUCAUUUUUACUUGACAGAACAAAAAGCAGACAAACUGUGGAUAUUAAGACUUAAAUAUUUGGCUGAUAUUUUCUAGAAAAUCUAUGAAGUGAGCUUAUCAAUUCAGGGGAAAACAACUGCGACACUGUUUUUGGCCCAUGAUAAAAUUUGAGCUUUCAAGAAAAAUUUGAAAUUUGGAGAACUUUUAUCUGCCAGUGUAAAUGUGGCAGCUCCCAGUGCCACAGACUCUUCUGCUGACAGGGGUGGUGACAUUAGCAAGUGGGGUUUCUUGAUGCAUACAGUGGAAGGUCACACACCACAUGCAGCAGUGUGUUCUCAGUGACCAACAAACGAUGCUACAUACGAGCGUGGGUGAAGAGCCACCAAAGUGUAAGACACACUGCCGGGUGUUCAUGUAACUGACAGGUUCAUCAACAUGGUUUCAGAUUCCUCAUUGCAACUAAUCUAUAAGGAACUAUCCGUUGUUGAAUUUUAGCAUAGGCAAAGAAGAACAUCGGCAAUUUUUUGAGAAGCAUUGAAACCUCCCUUUUCCCACCAGACAUGUCUGUCUGAGCCUGGGGUGUUUCUUUACAUAUACUUGAACCAGAAUAGCAUAUCACAGCAAGUUGAACACAGAAGCACGUCGGCAGUUCUGCCUGUCUUCUGUUGAGUAUUGAAGAUACGUGCAAAAAUGUACAACAGGGCCAUUUUCUUGCUGGUUUCUUUUUGAAAAUAAGGUUAUUUUCAUAAAAUGUUACUUAACAUGAAGUGAACCUGUUGCUAAUUUAAGUGAAUAAGUAAAUAUUUUUAAAAUUUUCAAAUAUGGUCAAUAUCAAUGGAUAUAACCCCCAUAAUCAAAGCUCUUUAGGGCUCUCCAUACUUUCUAAGAAUGUAAAUACGUCUUGACACCAAAAAAAUGGAAAACACUUGGACUUAGAAAUUUUUCUCGAAUGGGCUGGAUGUGACCCUGACCCUGUUUUUACCAAGCCUCCUUGGUUUUUCCCCUCUUUUCUCCAAAAAAAAAAA